rnacentral:rRNA from 1 species
CAGAGGGUGCAAACGUUGUUCGGAAUUACUGGGCGUAAAGCGCGUGUAGGCGGCUAAGUAAGUCGGGCGUGAAAUCCCACGGCUCAACCGUGGAAGUGCACUCGAAACUGCAUAGCUAGAGUCCUGGAGAGGAAGGUGGAAUGCUUGGUGUAGAGGUGAAAUUCGUAGAUAUCAAGCGGAACACCGGUGGCGAAGGCGGCCUUCUGGACAGUGACUGACGCUGAGACGCGAAAGCGUGGGGAGCAAACAGGAUUAGAUACCCUGGUAGUCCACGCCGUAAACGAUGAGUGCUAGGUGUCACGGGCUUUGACCCUCGUGGUGCCGAAGCUAACGCGUUAAGCACUCCGCCUGGGGAGUACGGCCGCAAGGCUA